UAUAACUGUUCUAUUCACGUAG
rnacentral:miRNA from 1 species